AGUGAAGCGUGUUAUAUUUGGGGUAGAAAUGUGUUAUUUCCCAGCGAAAAGUGGUAUUUUCGGGAAGGAAGUGCAGAAUUUUUGGGAGACAGGUGGUAUUUUUGGAUGAAAAUGCAUGAUUUUCGAGAGAAAAGUGGUAUUUCUCGAGAGAAAAUGCGUGAUUUUGGGGUGAAAGGUGGUAUAUUUGGGGGAGAAAUGUGUUAUUUCCCAGCGAAAAGUGGUAUUUUCGGGAAGGAAGUGCAGAAUUUUUGGGAGACAGGUGGUAUUUUUGGAUGAAAAUGCAUGAUUUUCGAGAGAAAAGUGGUAUAUUUGGGGUAGAAAUGCGUUAUUACCCAGCGACAAGUGGUGUUUUCGCGCAGAAAAUGCGUGAUUUUCGUGAGAAAAGUGGUAUUUCUCGAGAGAAAAUGCGUGAUUUUGGGGUGAAAGGUGGUAUUUUCGGGAAGAAAAUGCGUGAAUUUUGUGAGAAAAGUGGUGUUUUUGGAGAGAAAACGCGUGAUUUGGGGGUGAAUGGUGGUAUAUUUGGGGGAGAAAUGUGUUAUUUCCCAGCCAAAAGUGGUAUUUUCGGGUAGAAAAUGCGUGAUGUUUGGACAGAGGUGCUAUUUUUCGAGGGGGAAAGGCGUGAUUUUCAAGCAAAAACUUGUAGUUUCGGAGUGACAAUGCAUGGUUUUCGUUAGCAAAGUCGUAUUUUACUAAAGAAAAUGCGUGAUUUUCUUGUGAAAGGUGGUAUUUUCGGGGUGAAAAUGCAUGAUUU
ensembl:lncRNA